UUUUUUUUUUCUACAUGGAUUCAUGGAUGCUAUGUUUGCCUUUUUUGUCAAUUUCUGAAUGACACUUACUUAGAUAUAAUGGUUUAGGAUCAUGCUGGCUUCACCUUAAAACUGUAGACAUUUUUCCUUUGUUUUCUGGCCUUGAAUAUUGCUUAGAGGAAGUCUAAGGCCAGCAUGACUUCCUCCCUCUUAUAAGUUACUUAGUUUUUUGCUUAGAGGUCUGAAGUUUUUCCAUCAGUCUUUAUGGUUAAUAGCUCAACCAGGAGAUGCCUUGAUGUUGAAUAUUGUAUGUCCACUUUUUUUGAAUAUUUUUUUCUUCAGAGUCAGUUCUUUCAGAUUUUGUGGAAAUUCUCUUCUAUUACAUCUUUAAGUGCUUUUUUCUGAUCCAUUUGUUACAUUAUGUACCCAGGAAGUUGAAUCAGGCUGAUAUAUUUGUCUCACUUGCAUAUUAUCAUCUUUGCAAUUACUCUGCCCCACUUUUCUUCUGCAUUCACUGCAAUUUAUUAAAUUAAUUUGUCAACUGGAAUGUAUUGAGUUCCAGCACUAGCAGUAAAUAAGAUCACAUCCCUGCUUUUAUGAAGCUGUGAAGCUUUCGCUUGAGGAUAGGGGAGGGAGAAAUAAACAUAACAAAGUCAGGUAGUGAUAACAAUAAGAAACCCAGGUAAAGAAAUGGAGGGGUCGGGGCAGGAAUUGUGCGUUUUAGAUAACGCAGUGAGAGCAGGCCUCCCUAAGAUGAUAUUUGAGAAGAAAUGUGAAUGAAGUGAGGCAGCGAGCUAGGCAAACACCUGGGCAAUACAUAUGAGGAGAACAACAAGUACAAAGGACUUGCAAUAGAAGAAUGGUGUGUUCAAGACAGAAUGAUUCAAGUUGAAUGAGUAACCAGAAAGUGAUGAGAGGUUAAACCAGAUAAUUGGAUAGGCCAGGUCACAAAAGGGGCUGGAGACCCUAGAGAGGAGACUGAAAUUUGUUCAAACUGUGACAGAGCAGAGAGAUGGUAUGGGCUUUAGAGGAGUCACUCUGGCUGCUGCUAAGUAUUUCAACAGCACUCAAAUGAGUAUAAGGAAUUAGUCAAACAGGUGUGGUCAAACCGAAAAAGGAAAAAGAGAGCCCUGAGAUAACAGAGGAACUUCAGGAAGCAGUUACUACUCCUAGUCCUCAAUAAACUCGGGCAGACCUGAAGUUUCUAGAAGCCAGGAGCUAUAAAGGGAAACUCGGCAGAGCUGGAACCCUAACCUGGGUGGGGGGGUGCUGCCCAGUGGCUUUUGGUACUUCUAUGUGGGGGCUGGUUCUAGGAGAGUGGAAAAUAGUUGAAAUUUAGGGCUAGCUGCUGCUGCCAGGGAGAAGUUCCAUAACUGGGCAAUGCUGGCAGGUGCAGAAAGCCCACAAGGAAGAACAAGUUCUUUUUCCCUCUUCUUGACUUUUUCUUCUGUUGACUGACUGAUUGUAGCAAGCAGAAAUGUAGCUUCCAGAGUCCCAGUCCCAGCAUCACAAAGCAGACUAUAGAAGGGUUUACUGAGAAAAGAUAACAGUCUACUGGCACAAAGAGGAAUUAAGGGUGAUUUUUUAGGCUUUUGUCUUGAGCAACUGGAUGAAAAUAAUGUCAUUUAUUGACAUGGGGGAACUUAGGAAGAAGUAAUUUGAGGGGGAGAAGAAAAUAAAUGUUUGUUCUGAAUGAGUUAACUUUGAGGUUUUUAUUAGACACCUAAGUGGAGUUCCUGGGCAGGCAGUUGGAUAUGAGUUCAGAGCUUAACAGAGGUAUUAGGGAUAGAAUACAAAUUUCAGGAGUCCUAAGAGCACAGACAAUAUUUAUACCAGAAAAAAUGGGUCAGAUGACCUAGGGGGAAAUGAGUAUUGACAAGGAAGAACAAAAAAAGGAUGAGGACUAUGCCUAGGAGUCCCAAACAUUUGGGAAGAGGAAGAUGAUCUGGCAAGACGUUAAUAAACAAGAGCAGUUUUAGGUGGCGAUGUGAAGACAAUAAUCCUAACUGGAAUGAAUUGAAGAGAUAAUAUAUGAUGAGGAAGUGGAAACUGCCAGCAUAGACAAUCUUUAAAAUCUUUUAAAAAAUCAAAUAAAAUACUGUUAUAAAAGGGAACAGAAGAAAGGGGUUCUUACUUACCAUGGAAAUAGGGGGGGAUAUGAGGUCUAAGAUGAUAGUAUGUUUAGAAGGGGAAAUAUUACAGUAUGUCUACUGGCUGGAAUAAUCCAGUAAAGAAAGAGAAACUAAGGAUGCAGGAAAUGGAGGAGAUAAUCACAGGAGUGAAGUCCUUGACUAUACAAGGAAAUAUGGCAUCUGGGGCACAAGGAGAAGGGCUUAGAUAAGAGCAGGGAUAGCAGACUCUAGACAAAGGAGGAGAGAGUAUAUGGAGGCAGGCUGAAAAAUACAGCAUGGGAAAGAUGAGUUUCUCUGGUGACAGCUUCUAUUUAUCAAUAAAAUGAGAGUCUGAAGUGAGGAGUGGGGAAAUGUGGCAGGUUUAGGGGAGAGGAGAUGUGGCAUAAUCAUCCUGAUAAGCUGACUAGGGAAUGUGCCAGUCUUUUCUUUUGGUGAGAAUUUGGUUUCCAGCCAUGCUUAUUUUGUUUCUUGCUGUUCCAGAUUUAUUUAUUUUGAAAUAAUAGUACUAUUUUGGCCUUCAUUGGAUUAGGUUGCAGACAUUUUCCUUUUCUGGCUACUUCUGCUAAUGUUUUAAAAGGUGUUUUUACUGUUUUUUGUUUUGCAUAAACCAUUUUGUAAAAUAUUUGCGGAGGAAGAUUUUUUGAUCUACCUUCACUCUCCGUCUUGAUCUGAAAGUCUAGAGUAAUAUUUUAAAGUAGACUACACUCCAUAUUUUUUUCAACUCACCCUAUUCUAGCUAUAACAGAUAAGAAGUCAUAGCAAUAUUAUAUAUUAUUAUAAUAGCCACCAUUUACUGAAUGCCUAUGUGCCAUGUACUAUGCUGGGCACUUGACAUACAUGAUUUCUAAAACUUAACAACCCUGCAAGGUAAGUACUGUUGCCACUUACUUCUUCAGAAAACUUUUUUCUUGGUGGUGUCAGAUCACAGAAUCUUAUUUGAAGCUCAUAGCUUGCCAAUAUAAACAAGGUAAGGACAAAUUUUUCUUCCCUCUGUGUUAGUUAAAAAUUAGCACUUAAGAGAUUGUUCUUUUUGAAGAACAAAAUAAUGGGUUUGCAGAAGUGCACCACACAAACUAAGGGGUAUUUUUAUGGACAGGUUUUUGACACAAGACUAUUAUUAAUCUCUUGGUGGGAGAGUUGUUAAUUGACAGAUUCAAGGAACUUGGUAAAUUAAUUGAGGUAUCCCUUCUCUAACCGUCCCCAUCAUCAAUGAACAUACUGAGAGCCUGCUAUGUCAAAUAAUUAGUAGCUUAUACUAAACCAUUAGGACUUUACCAGUUAUAGGAUAUGUAUCAGUGUUUGUUUUGGAAACUACAUUAUUUGGAUUUAAAUAAUACCAAAACUUUUCUUUUGGUCAACAAUAUUUAUACUCAUGUGAUGACACUCAAAACAUCACUGGGACAUAAACACACAUCUAUGCCAAGUAAUAGGUUUCUUUUUCUGAUUAUGAAAGUAGUACAUCUAAGUGAAGAAAAUUUUAAAAAUACGUUUAAAAUAAAGAACAAAAAUAUUUUUAAAGGCCAGCAAGAAAUAAUAACCAGUAAUUCCUUUAUUUAGAAGUAACUGACUAUUGCAGUUAACCAUAUUUCCGUACAGUUAAGUUUAUGAAGUUUAAACUAUUUAAGUACACUGCCUUUUUUCAUGAGAAUUUAUCAAAAAUGUUUCUUCAACUUAUUUAAAACUCUUUAAAGACAUUUUCAAUGGCUGCAUAAUGAUCCUUGUGUGGAGUAGUGUUCCCUUAAGUGGUCAUUUAAGCUGUUUUCCUUACUUUCUUAGAAAUAAUGUUGCUGUGAACUUUUUUAUGGAUAAAUCUGUUUUAGCAUUUCAGAUUAUUUUCUAAAUUAGGAUAAAUUCCUAGAAAUAGGCUAAAAGGCCAACAUUUUUAAGCUUCUUCAUCUGGUAAAAAUUUUUCUGUAAAAAAAAAAUCUUUUAAUACUCUACAUAUGUUUAUACUGAAAAUAAACCUAAGGAGAAAAAUUUAUGUGGCCUACCUUUUAAAAUUGAGAUGAAUUUUUAAGCUUAGGCUUAGAAUAGAAACUCAGUGGUUUUGUUUUGCUUUGUCUUAUGUAUUUAUUUUUUGGCCAUGCCCAUGACAUGUGGAAGCUCCCAGGUCAGGGACUGAACCCAUGCCACAGUUGCAACAUGCACCACAACUGCAGCAACACCAGGUCCUUAACCCACUGUGCCACAAGGGAACUUACUGCUUUGUUUUUAUUUUAAUAGCUUACUUUUAAGGGAAAAUCCACUCUUCAAAAUAUUAUUUACUUCUCUUUGUCAGGUUUGAAACUUACACUUAAUUUGAGAUAGAAGUUUAAAUAUAUACGUAUUUCAGCCUAAUGCUUCUAUUUUUCAAGGUAUUAGCAUCACUUUUUUCCUAUUUCCAAGUAUGUGCACAUAACAGUGUUCCCUCCUGAUGCAUCAUCAAUGUAAUGUCACAGGUACACACGUAAUUCAUGGUUUAAGUAUACACAAUUCACCUGUGGAUAAAAAUCUAAUUACAGAUCAAGGUCAUUCCCAAAUUUAGCAAAUUUGGCACAAGAGUCUAAGAGUGCCAAAAUUAAUAUUAUAAAACAGUUCGGUUGUGCUACCCUGAAAUGUAUAGCAUAUGCAGAAUAGGGCAGGUUCACCCCAUUCUAAAAUUUAGAAUGGUAAUGGGAUCACAAAACUUGGGAAAACCUCCAGGAGAAACUGAAUCAAAGUAAAUUAAUUAUUGCUUUUCAGUAGCUAUCAUUUAUUAAUUCACUCACCAACAUUCACUGAACAUCUUUUAUGUGUCAAACACUUGGCAGGAGCUGGAGUUAACAAAAAGAUAUAGGCCAUCUCUCCUGGAAAAUACAUUCUAGUGGAAAAGAAAGACAAAAGCAAGUGAACAAAUAAGUAAAAUGGUUAGAAGUUGUAAUCCAGUUACUUCCAUUUCUCAGUAUUAUUUAUAUGAGUCAAAGAAGUGAUUUGAGUUCUCCCCCAAGAAUUUUUAAAGUGGUACUGAGUAAGAAAAAAGUUAAAAGAUUUAGGAUUAAGAAACAGACGAUCUCUAGAGAUAUUUUACAACUCUGAUCAUUAUCAUUCCCUUGUGCCUUGUACCCACCCUCUCCCCCAAAAAAAGACAGACUAGGAUAAAGUUCAUUCUCUUUAGCCCAACCUUCAGUCUCUAGUCUGGUAUGAACCAACCUCUGAUGUAGCCAGUUAUAACUGAAGGUAAAAUGUGCCAAAUUUGGAGAGCAAGGAAACCCAGGUUUUAGCAAGUUAGCAAUGCUGGGAUCAAGGCCUUAAGGGAGACAUUUAAUUUUCCAGGGUCAGUUUCCUUUGCAAAAUGAUGAAUUUUGACUAAAUGAUCUCUAAAAUGCCUUCAAGCUUAAAAAUUCAGUGUAUAUGCAUCUCUCCUUAAAAUAUUAUUUCCAUUAUGCUGCUAUUUAUACUGGGGGUGGGGAGGACAUAGCAAUGAGGAAAAAUACAGAGGUCAGAAAGAAUAAGAUUGAUUCAUUUUGGACAGAAAUAAAGGAUCUGCAGUUUAUAAUGACCAUUUUCUCAUGUUACUGAAUAUUUUUGAAAACAUUUUUAAUAUCUGCAUGGCAUUCCAACAUAUGGAUAUACCACAAUAAAUUUGUAACUGUACCUUCAUUUUAAAAAUUAUUUCCCUGUUUAUGCAAUUAUCUAAGGAUAUUUAGAAUCUAUGCUUGUCUACUGGUAUUCAAAAUACUACUGCAGGCUCUCUCUCUCUGCCUCGUUCCUUUUGUGGGGGGAAAAAAUUUACUGGGAUUCCUUCUUCUUAUCUACUCCAGCCCAUACAUGGCUUUCUCUUAAUAUAAAGACUCCACUUUGGACAAUGAUAUAUACAGCCUGCUCUUCCUCUUUUCUAAAAAAGUGUCACCCCUGAGUAAGGUCCAUAUUUUUUGCAGCUCUCCUGAAGAAUGCGAAUCAAAGCCAAUUCCAUGCCUUUAUCAAGUCUGGAUAAUGUACAUUUUUAGCUUUAACCGAAUCUGAAAUCCAUGAGAUUAAAUGCCUACCAGCAGACAAAUAGGUAAAGAUUCAUUUCUGUCCGCUAUAACAAAAAUGUGAUUUAGUUCUGUCAUAAUAUACAAAGAUACAGAUGAUUUAGUUAACUAUGACAAAAGUAACUAUGAUUGGUGAUUCUGCCAUGAUCUUGAACUUGUUCUAAUAUUGUUAUUUCAUUGAAACAUUAGAACAUAAGUGUACAAUUAGGAGAAGUAAAACUUAAGGUUUUAACUGCUAACUUCAGUAACAGUAAAUACACAAUCUGCUAUUUAGUUUACGUUUUGUAAUAUGGCAUAUUAUUUCAAUAAAUGUCACAUUCUGCAUUGGCUUUGCUACUUCAUCCAUUGAGUAAAAAAUUCAAAGAGGUGACACACUGAUUUAUAAUUACUCUAAAAAUAUCUUGAAUGAGUUAAAAAAAUCUUUUCAAUUUAAUAGUUUUUAUUUAAGAGAAAAGCAAAAUCUCUGUUGUGCCUCUCUGUGAAUUGGUGCAAGUUGAACAUUUUCUUUAUAACUUUAACUUACUUUUAAGCACCUGUAGAGUAUCAAUUUGGAAUCUGAAGGAAGAGUCACAGUAAUAAUUAGUUCUACCAAUAGCUAUGGACAUUGUAGUCACAGAUAGUAGAAUUUUAGUGAAGGGCUCUUUGGGGUCAUAUAAUCUAGCUCUCAUUUUAGAGAUAAGGAAAAUGAAGGCCAAAGUUUUUAUCAUUCACAGCAGCAAGCUUGGAGGGCAGAGGGGAAGGAGACUCCUGACAUUGUCUGUUGGCCUAAUGCAUGGCAGAGGGUAACAAAUUAUAAGCUAAUACAGUUGAAUAAAUCUAAGAGAUCUGGUUUGGAUCCUAAGUAUACAUUUUCUCUUAAGAUAUUGUUGGAUGAUCCAUUCCACCUUAAUCUAUUACCACAGACACAAAAGGGAAGUGACUUUACACAAAUUGAUGCUCUUGUGCAAUAAAAUGCAAGAGAGAAGUUGGUGUUGGUUUGGCAGAGCUACAAUACCGUACCACUCCUGGGGGGAACAUUAAUAUAUCUCCAUGUGCAUGCAUAACUGAGGCUUCUUAAUUGUGCUUCAGGAAAUGCCAUUCACAUAUAUUCCAAUGUAAAUGAUGCCCAUGGGAGUUGUACAUCAUACAGCCUCUUUGAAUACAAGUUUUGUAUAUUGAGUUAAUUAGGGGAGACUAAUUGCCAUAACAGAUCAACCCCAAAAUGUAUAACAGCUCAAGUCUGUUUCUUGCUAAAAUAAACAGGCAUUUCAAUGCUUAGUUUUCAAGGUCUUUCUGUACCUAGGCUUUCAGUACCAAAGUUCCAAGGUCUCCCUGGGGGUCUUUUCUAUUUCAGUCUGUAGGAAGCGGAGUUUUUAGGGGAGAGAACUCAAAGUAGUACAUGUAACUUCUAUUCUCAUUCCAUUGGCUGUAAUUUAGUCACAUGACCACAGCUAACUACAAAGGAGGCUGGGAAUAAGCUUAUCUGUUUGGCCAAGAAGAAAUAAGAACAUGGGGAGUUCCCAUUGUACUCAGUGGAAACCAACCUGACUAGUAUCCAUGUGGAUGUGGGAUUGGUCCCUGGCCCCACUCAGUGGGUUAAGGAUCUGGUGUUGCCAUGAGCUGCAGUGUGGGUCACAAACGUGGCUCGACUCGGUGUUGGUGUUGCUGUGGCUGUGGCACAGGUUGGCAGCUGCAGCUCGGAUUAGACCCCUAGCCUGGGAACUUCCGUAUGCUGCAGGUGCAGCCCUAAAAAGCAAAAAAGAAAUAAAUAAGAAUAUGGAUUUUGAUGUCUGGCUAGCAGCCACUGCUCACUUGGGUGCUCUCUCUCUCUCUCUCUCUACAUAUACAUGCAUGUGCACAUACAAACACACACAAAUUCUGGUCACCAAAAAUUAACUCAUAAUUGUGCUUCAAAUAAGAACAAUAGUGGAAGAAAAGGCCUUUUAAGAACUGUAUUUAUGUCUACCCUUUCCCUCCUUUGGGCAGAAUUGUCAAGGCACAACAAAAGUUAACUGAAAUCUCUACAUGAAG
rnacentral:lncRNA from 1 species